AUUGAACGCUGGCGGCAGGCCUAACACAUGCAAGUCGAGCGAGCGGCGGACGGGAGAGUAAUGUAUGGGGCUCUGCGCGAUAGAGGGGGAUAACUACUGGAAACGGUUGCUGAUACCGCCUACUAUCGGAUGAACCCAUAUGGGAUUAGCUAGUGGGGGGGGUAAAGGCCCACCAAGGCGACGAUCUCUAGCUGGUCUGAGAGGAGGAUCAGCCACACGGGAACUGAGACACGGUCCAGACUCCUACGGGAGGCAGCAGUGGGGAAUAUUGGACAAUGGGCGCAAGCCUGAUGCAGCCAUGCCGCGUGUAUGAAGAAGGCCUUCGGGUUGUAAAGUACUUUAAGCUGGGAGGCGUUACCCGCAGAAGAAGCACCGGCUAACUCCGUGCCAGCAGCCGCGGUAAUUC
rnacentral:rRNA from 1 species